UACAGAGGGUGCGAGCGUUAAUCGGAAUUACUGGGCGUAAAGCGAGUGUAGGUGGCUCAUUAAGUCACAUGUGAAAUCCCCGGGCUUAACCUGGGAACUGCAUGUGAUACUGGUGGUGCUAGAAUAUGUGAGAGGGAAGUAGAAUUCCAGGUGUAGCGGUGAAAUGCGUAGAGAUCUGGAGGAAUACCGAUGGCGAAGGCAGCUUCCUGGCAUAAUAUUGACACUGAGAUUCGAAAGCGUGGGUAGCAAACAGGGUUAGAUACCCUGGUAGUCCACGCCGUAAACGAUGUCUACUAGCCGUUGGGGUCCUUGAGACUUUAGUGGCGCAGUUAACGCGAUAAGUAGACCGCCUGGGGAGUACGGCCGCAAGGUUAAA
rnacentral:rRNA from 1 species